UAAGUUCUUUUCAUUCUUUCUCCAAGUAUUGUUGGCUGCAUAAGCAAAAUGACAAGCAUAGGGAAGCUGGGGCAAUGGCCUUUACUUGUAACUGCUUUGGCAAUUUGCUUUAUAGCCAGCACUGUUGUUGCUGAUUACUCUUAUGGGUAUGCUUCUCCCUCACCUUCUUAUAACUCUAAGAAGUAUUACAAAUCACCAUCUCCACCCAAGUACCUAGUACCUACUCCUUACUAUAAGUCACCUGCUAUUGCAAAGCACUACUACAAGUCACCAGCUCCCGCAAAAUACUACAAGUCGCCGGCUCCCGCAAAAUACUACAAGUCGCCAGCUCCUUCGAAGAACUACUACAAGUCGCCAUCACCUGCAAAGUACUACAAAGCGCCAGCUCCCGCAAAAUACUACAAGUCGCCAGCUCCUUCAAAGAACUACUACAAGCCGCCAUCACCAGCAAAGUACUACAAAUUGCCUGCUCCCUCUAAAUAUUAUAAGUCACCGCCGCCACCAAAAUAUUACAAGUCCCCAGUUUACUACAAAUCUCCACCACCACCAACUUAUUAUGAGAAAUCACCUUCGUAUUACAAGUCACCUCCUCCAACAUACUAUGAGCAAUCACCUAAGUCACCUCUACCCCCACCAAAAUACUACGAGCAAUCACAAUCUUCUUACAAAUCUCCUCCACCUCCACCAAAAUACUAUGAGCAACCAUCGUCAUACAACUCUCCACCACCACCACCAAAAUACUAUGAGCAAUCACUAAUCAAUUAUAAGUCUCCACCUCCACCGUACUACAAAGAAUCUACACCUUCCUACAAAUCUCCUCCACCUCCACCAAAAUACUACGAGCAAUCACCUAUAACUUACAACUUACCAUCUCUUCCAAAGACUUAUGAAAAAUCGCCAUCAUACUUCUCACCUCCACCACCAACGAACUACUAUAAGCAAACUCCCGUCUAUGCCUCACCUCCACCACCUGCAAAAUACGAGCAUGCCACCUAUGUUUCACCUCCCCCAGCAACCUACUACUAAUAUUAAUCAAACCAUUCACUUCAAUCAAUUUUCACCAUUUCUUUGAUUUUUAGAUCCUUUUCAUCCUCCUAUUUGGAGGAUUUCUAUUUUCUCUCCCAAAAUCUUAUGCGUGCUUCCCCAAAGGGUCGGCUUCUGUUGCUGUGUGCUCAUUUUAAUAUAUAAUUUGCAUUAUUUGAUAUUCAAGAUCCUCGAGAUCUCAAACAGUACUUUGGCUCAUUGUAUCAAUUAAGCUCCUUUCGGUGUAAUCUCUUGAGAAUUUUAUUUUAAUUGGUUGAUAGUAUCUUCUUCUUUAUUACUACUAUAGUUUGUUCUAAU
rnacentral:lncRNA from 1 species